CGCAGACAGAAGACAGGGUGGAGCAGGAGGACAGAGUGUGAGGUGAGGUUCAGUCAGGUCAGAGGCUCCUCAGAUCGGGUUCAUGGUCCGAGUCUCCAAGUUUAAAGCAGAACUCUUUUUUUACUCUCUUUACUUCAGAUACAGUUGAUCCAGAAGGAGGGUUCACUGUGGACAGCGAGGCUUUAGAGGAUGUGGAAAUACGUCCCUGAAUGCAUCAUGUAUUUCCUGUAGAGUUCUGAUUUAUGUACUUUAGAUUAUGAAAAGAGCUCAGCGUUUAGAGGCUACACCUCGCUCAAUGUGAGAAUGUCAAGCUUGUCUGCGGCUGAAUCAACAAGACGAGGUCGACUGGAAAAAUGAUGGAAACUGUGCAAAAAAAAAA